rnacentral:rRNA from 1 species
GAUGAACGCUGGCGGCGUGCCUAAUACAUGCAAGUCGAGCGAACGGACGAGAAGCUUGCUUCUCUGAUGUUAGCGGCGGACGGGUGAGUGACACGUGGAUAACCUACCUAUAAGACUGGGAUAACUUCGGGAAACCGGAGCUAAUACCGGAUAAUAUUUUGAACCGCAUGGUUCAAAAGUGAAAGACGGUCUUGCUGUCACUUAUAGAUGGAUCCGCGCUGCAUUAGCUAGUUGGUAAGGUAACGGCUUACCAAGGCAACGAUGCAUAGCCGACCUGAGAGGGUGAUCGGCCACACUGGAACUGAGACACGGUCCAGACUCCUACGGGAGGCAGCAGUAGGGAAUCUUCCGCAAUGGGCGAAAGCCUGACGGAGCAACGCCGCGUGAGUGAUGAAGGUCUUCGGAUCGUAAAACUCUGUUAUUAGGGAAGAACAUAUGUGUAAGUAACUGUGCACAUCUUGACGGUACCUAAUCAGAAAGCCACGGCUAACUACGUGCCAGCAGCCGCGGUAAUACGUAGGUGGCAAGCGUUAUCCGGAAUUAUUGGGCGUAAAGCGCGCGUAGGCGGUUUUUUAAGUCUGAUGUGAAAGCCCACGGCUCAACCGUGGAGAGUCAUUGGAAACUGGAAAACUUGAGUGCAGAAGAGGAAAGUGGAAUUCCAUGUGUAGCGGUGAAAUGCGCAGAGAUAUGGAGGAACACCAGUGGCGAAGGCGACUUUCUGGUCUGUAACUGACGCUGAUGUGCGAAAGCGUGGGGAUCAAACAGGAUUAGAUACCCUGGUAGUCCACGCCGUAAACGAUGAGUGCUAAGUGUUAGGGGGUUUCCGCCCCUUAGUGCUGCAGCUAACGCAUUAAGCACUCCGCCUGGGGAGUACGACCGCAAGGUUGAAACUCAAAGGAAUUGACGGGGACCCGCACAAGCGGUGGAGCAUGUGGUUUAAUUCGAAGCAACGCGAAGAACCUUACCAAAUCUUGACAUCCUUUGACAACUCUAGAGAUAGAGCCUUCCCCUUCGGGGGACAAAGUGACAGGUGGUGCGUGGUUGUCGUCAGCUCGUGUCGUGAGAUGUUGGGUUAAGUCCCGCAACGAGCGCAACCCUUAAGCUUAGUUGCCAUCAUUAAGUUGGGCACUCUAAGUUGACUGCCGGUGACAAACCGGAGGAAGGUGGGGAUGACGUCAAAUCAUCAUGCCCCUUAUGAUUUGGGCUACACACGUGCUACAAUGGACAAUACAAAGGGCAGCGAAACCGCGAGGUCAAGCAAAUCCCAUAAAGUUGUUCUCAGUUCGGAUUGUAGUCUGCAACUCGACUACAUGAAGCUGGAAUCGCUAGUAAUCGUAGAUCAGCAUGCUACGGUGAAUACGUUCCCGGGUCU